rnacentral:rRNA from 1 species
GAUGAACGCUGGCGGCGUGCCUAAUACAUGCAAGUCGAGCGAACAGACGAGGAGCUUGCUCCUCUGACGUUAGCGGCGGACGGGUGAGUAACACGUGGAUAACCUACCUAUAAGACUGGGAUAACUUCGGGAAACCGGAGCUAAUACCGGAUAAUAUAUUGAACCGCAUGGUUCAAUAGUGAAAGACGGUUUUGCUGUCACUUAUAGAUGGAUCCGCGCCGCAUUAGCCAGUUGGUAAGGUAACGGCUUACCAAGGCAACGACGCGUAGCCGACCUGAGAGGGUGGUCGGCCACACUGGAACUGAGACACGGUCCAGACUCCUACGGGAGGCAGCAGUAGGGAAUCUUCCGCAAUGGGCGAAAGCCUGACGGAGCAACGCCGCGUGAGUGAUGAAGGUCUUCGGAUCGUAAAACUCUGUUAUUAGGGAAGAACAAAUGUGUAAGUAACUAUGCACGUCUUGACGGUACCUAAUCAGAAAGCCACGGCUAACUACGUG